GAACUGCGAUAAGUAAUGUGAAUUGCAGAAUUCAGUGAAUCAUCGAGUCUUUGAACGCACAUUGCGCCCCCUGGCAUUCCGGGGGGCAUGCCUGUCCGAGCGUCAUUGCUGCCCAUCAAGCCCGGCUUGUGUGUUGGGUCGUCGUCCCCCCCGGGGGACGGGCCCGAAAGGCAGCGGCGGCACCGUGUCCGGUCCUCGAGCGUAUGGGGCUUUGUCACCCGCUCGACUAGGGCCGGCCGGGCGCCAGCCGACGUCUCCAACCAUUUUUCUUCAGGUUGACCUCGGAUCAGGUAGGGAUACCCGCUGAACUUAA
rnacentral:misc_RNA from 1 species